UUUAAAUCCUUUAACGGGAACAGUUUUUUCCCGGUCUGUAGGGGAAAACAGUUAUAUCUGCAGAAGCAAACGUAAGAAGCUAAAGGUUGAUGGAGGGGUAAUUGCAUUAUGAAAAAUGUAUGCUGAAAGAACUGCUGGGAUUUCUCUUACUGAUCUUCGCUCAUUAGGGAUUUCUCUCACUACUCUUCUGUACAGAAGCUAAGGACCUUUCCGAGGGAAAUCCACCAGGAUUCACCUUUCUGACUGCAACUGCCAGGAUGUAGCUAGAUGGAAGGGAAAGGCUUUGAUUUUGAGUUUGUUUAUUGGAGUAGGAAGAUAAAGCUUGGAUAGGUAUCAAUUUAUAAGUAAGCAAAAUGGUCAUUGCUCCUUGCCUCUGCUAGGAAGGCUAUGAUUCUUGAGAUAUUUUGUUUCACUGAUACAGACAUUUAGAGAUCAUAAUGAUGAAUUUGUUAAAUUGAGAUCAUCACAAUCCAAAUAAUGUUUUCUUUAUUUUUUGUCUGGUUUUGUGUGAGAGCAAAUUUCAUUAUAUUGGAAGGAAUAUCGAGGAAACUGAAAAAAUAGCCUCGGAGAUGUGUACUAGAGAAUUGGGGAUUAGAUGAUCUCCAUCUUUAGAAUUGUUGUGACUGUCCCUUACAUAUGUAAAAUCAAUAAAGAAAAAUAUUCUGAUUCCAAAAUGCUGCAAUUCAUCAUUUUUCCCUUCCUAGUAGACUUUGAAGGUAUUGAAUUUGAUUAGCCUGCUAAUGCAGAAAAAUAUUUCUGGAGUCCUAGGAAAAAAAAGCUUCCAUUUUUCCUUUUUUCUCUUCACUAAAUGCGUUUGUAAUGUCCUGGUAGGCUGAGCUUUGACCACCAGGGAGCAGCAGAGAGCUGCUUCCAGUUUCAAAUGUUUUAUAUCGAUUUAGUUUUUUUCUCAUAUCUUCUAUUUUGCUUGGAAAAGAGUUGUCACUUAUAAAGAGCAUUCUUUAGAACAGUGUGUGCUCAGAUUUGUGCACAGUAUUCCUACUGAAUCCAAUAUGACUGUCAGUGUCACUUAAUUAUUAAUGCUGUGCUUCUGCAUGCAGUGCAGAUGUUUGUGUUUUGUGCACAGGAGACAUUAACGUGAAGGUACUGCUAUCUGCAGAGAAAUGGUGCAUAUCACUGCAAAAUGUGUUCUGUCCCACAGGGAAAUGAGGAUUAAUAACCAAAGGAGUUUGAUUAUUUUGCUUCUAAUUUUAUUGUUUACAUCAUUACCAGAGCCCUUGUGUAAAAAGUUUCCUACAUUACAUUCAAAGAAAUUAACUUGGUUUUUGUGAUAAAUAAGGAACGUGUUAAUAAAUCACUGAAUUUUAGAACAGGAUUUGUAAUUAUUUAUUGACAUUUAGUUAUUUCUCUUCUGGUUCCAAUUACCUGUUAUUUGCUUCUUAUGGGAAAAUUAUUUAAUAAGCACAGUUUGUGUGUUCUUGGGAUUUACCCGAGAAAAGCAGGAGCAGGAGGGCUUGUCCUAGCACUGUCUGAAACCUUCUUCAAGGCAGCAAGUUGUCUUUUGGUGGAGGCAAAAAAGAAGAGUAUAAAUCUUAAAAGAAGGCUGGUCUUUGGUGCAUGCAGUGCCUGAAACUUGGCUGAGGCUGUGGAAAUGCCAAAUACAACUCAUUAUUGAGAAUUGCCCUCUGAAAGUAAAGCAGUGGGUGCAGCAAGCUAACCAGGGGUUGUACUUGCUCUCUUACACUACUGCUCCUGCAGUAGAAUGUGAACAUUCAUCAAAAUACUAGCAGCCUUAAAUUAAGAGUCUGAAAAUUAAAAAAAAAAAAAAAAAAUUAGAAAAAUGAAAA